AGAACGAACGCUGGCGGCAUGCCUAACACAUGCAAGUCGAACGUGAUCCAUGACUUCGGUUGUGGUGAAAGUGGCAAACGGGUGAGUAACGCGUGGGAAUCUGCCCAGAGGUAGGGAAUAACCGCGGGAAACUGCGGCUAAUACCCUAUGUGCCCUACGGGGCAAAGAUUUAUCGCCUUUGGAGGAGCCCGCGUCGGAUUAGGUAGUUGGUAGGGUAACGGCCUACCAAGCCUACGAUCCGUAGCUGGUCUGAGAGGAUGAUCAGCCACACUGGGACUGAGAUACGGCCCAGACUCCUACGGGAGGCAGCAGUGGGGAAUAUUGGACAAUGGGGGCAACCCUGAUCCAGCAAUGCCGCGUGAGUGAUGAAGGCCUUCGGGUUGUAAAGCUCUUUCGGCGGGGAAGAUGAUGACGGUACCGCAGAAGAAGCCCGGCUAACUUCGUGCCAGCAGCCGC
rnacentral:rRNA from 1 species